rnacentral:rRNA from 1 species
AUACGGAGGGUGCAAGCGUUACUCGGAAUCACUGGGCGUAAAGCGCGCGCAGGCGGCUAUUUAAGUUGGAUGUGAAAGCCUACGGCUCAACCGUAGAACUGCAUCCAAAACUAUUUAGCUAGAGUGUGGGAGAGGAAGAUGGAAUUAGUUGUGUAGGGGUAAAAUCCGUAGAGAUAACUAGGAAUACCAAAAGCGAAGGCAAUCUUCUGGAACACUACUGACGCUGAGGCGCGAAAGCGUGGGGAGCAGACAGGAUUAGAAACCCUAGUAGUCC